UACGUAGGGGUCGAGCGUUGUCCGGAAUGAUUGGGCGUAAAGGGCGCGUAGGCGGCCUGUCAAGUCAGUAGUGGAAGUCCAUCUUUCAAGGAUGGAAGUGCUACAGAAACUGAUGGGCUUGAGUGCAGGAGAGGUUAUCGGAAUUCCCGGUGUAGCGGUGAAAUGCGUAGAGAUCGGGAGGAACACCGGUGGCGAAGGCGGCUUUCUGGCCAGUUACUGACGCUCAUGCGCGAAAGCUGGGGUAGCGAACCGGAUUAGAUACCCCGGUAGU
rnacentral:rRNA from 1 species